GACGUAGGGCGCGAGCGUUGUCCGGAAUUAUUGGGCGUAAAGAGCUCGUAGGCGGUCUGUCGCGUCGGUCGUGAAAACUUGGGGCUUAACCCUGAGCUUGCGGUCGAUACGGGCAUGACUGGAGUUCGGUAGGGGAGACUGGAAUUCCUGGUGUAGCGGUGAAAUGCGCAGAUAUCAGGAGGAACACCGGUGGCGAAGGCGGGUCUCUGGACAGUUCCUGACACUGAGGCACGAAGGCCAGGGGAGGCAAACGGG
rnacentral:rRNA from 1 species